AGAGUUUGAUCCUGGCUCAGGAUGAACGCUAGCUACAGGCUUAACACAUGCAAGUCGAGGGGCAGCAUGGUCUUAGCUUGCUAAGGCCGAUGGCGACCGGCGCACGGGUGAGUAACGCGUAUCCAACCUGCCUUACACUCUUGGACAGCCUUCUGAAAGGGAGAUUAAUACAAGAUGUUAUCAUGAGUAAGCAUUUUCGCAUGAUUAAAGGUUUACCGGUGUAAGAUGGGGAUGCGUUCCAUUAGAUAGUAGGCGGGGUAACGGCCCACCUAGUCUUCGAUGGAUAGGGGUUCUGAGAGGAAGGUCCCCCACAUUGGAACUGAGACACGGUCCAAACUCCUACGGGAGGCAGCAGUGAGGAAUAUUGGUCAAUGGACGAGAGUCUGAACCAGCCAAGUAGCGUGAAGGAUGAAGGUUCUAUGGAUUGUAAACUUCUUUUAUACGGGAAUAAACGGAUCCACGUGUGGAUUUUUGCAUGUACCGUAUGAAUAAGGAUCGGCUAACUCCGUGCCAGCAGCCGCGGUAAUACGGAGGAUCCGAGCGUUAUCCGGAUUUAUUGGGUUUAAAGGGAGCGUAGAUGGGUUGUUAAGUCAGUUGUGAAAGUUUGCGGCUCAACCGUAAAAUUGCAAUUGAUACUGGCAGUCUUGAGUACAGUUGAGGUAGGCGGAAUUCGUGGUGUAGCGGUGAAAUGCUUAGAUAUCACGAAGAACUCCGAUUGCGAAGGCAGCUUACUAACCUGUAACUGACAUUGAUGCUCGAAAGUGUGGGUAUCAAACAGGAUUAGAUACCCUGGUAGUCCACACGGUAAACGAUGAAUACUCGCUGUAGGCGAUAUACAGUCUGCGGCCAAGCGAAAGCAUUAAGUAUUCCACCUGGGGAGUACGCCGGCAACGGUGAAACUCAAAGGAAUUGACGGGGGCCCGCACAAGCGGAGGAACAUGUGGUUUAAUUCGAUGAUACGCGAGGAACCUUACCCGGGCUUAAAUUGCAACCGAAUAUGGCGGAAACGCUAUAGCUAGCAAUAGCGGUUGUGAAGGUGCUGCAUGGUUGUCGUCAGCUCGUGCCGUGAGGUGUCGGCUUAAGUGCCAUAACGAGCGCAACCCUUGCCGAUAGUUACUAACAGGUUAUGCUGAGGACUCUGUCGGGACUGCCAUCGUAAGAUGUGAGGAAGGUGGGGAUGACGUCAAAUCAGCACGGCCCUUACGUCCGGGGCUACACACGUGUUACAAUGGGGGGUACAGAGGGCUGCUACCACGCAAGUGGAUGCCAAUCCCAAAAACCUCUCUCAGUUCGGAUUGAAGUCUGCAACCCGACUUCAUGAAGCUGGAUUCGCUAGUAAUCGCGCAUCAGCCACGGCGCGGUGAAUACGUUCCCGGGCCUUGCACACACCGCCCGUCAAG
rnacentral:rRNA from 1 species